CCUGUCUCAGCCUCCCAAGUAGCUGGGACUACAGGUGCACACCACCAUGCCGAGCUAAUUUUUUGUAUUUUUUAGUAGAGACGGGGGUUUCACCAUGUUGGCCAGGCUGGUCUCGAACUCCUGGCCUCAAGUGAACUGCCUACCUGGGUCUCACAAAGUGCUGGGAUUACUGGCUUGAGCUACCACACAUGGCCUCAACUCUUCAUUAUUAAAUUGGUUUUGUGUUAGGUGAUUUUGCCCAGCUGUAGGUGAAUGUAAGCGUUCUGAGCAUGUUUGAAGUAGGCUAGACUGAGCUAGGAUGGUGGGUCGGUUAAGUGUAUUAAAAUGCAUUUUAACUUAUGAUAUUUUCAGUUUAUGGUGAGUUUAUCAGGAUGUGACCCCAUCGUAAGUUGAGGAGCAUCUGUAAUAGCAUUUUGUUUUUUAAAAAUAUUUAAUCAUCUUUGUCAAUGUCUCUUGAAUCCUCAGCGUUGACAACGAAGAUGUGUCCCUACCCUCUGCCUCUCAGGCUUGCUAAUUGCUGGGUUCUGCUUUCACUUUCACAUUGUUGAAGGAGAUAUUUCCAGUUGUUUUCUGUGCAUUAUCUGUAGUUCCCUUUUAAAAGGUGAAGCUGAUAAACACUUGUUAUGACAGUGUGAACUGGGCUUAAUGCUGUGUCAAGCAGUGUGCAAAGAUUACAUUUCCCUCUCCUCAUGUCUUGACUUCUGCAUCCCUCAAGAGAGAAUGAAUGUUCGUAAGGUUAAGGUCAAAUGGAAUGGAGUUUGCUCCUCAUAUUUCAUCAGUUGCUCAAAGGUACUCCCCAUUUUAGCUUGUGUUCUGUUUGGAUCCUGACUUUCUCAUGGUGGUUUUUCUGGACUUUUAUUAGCUUUCUUUUUCAUCCUGGGUAUUACAUGGCGUGCCUUCCACUCUGCCCCUGGAUUUCUUUUUACAGCCCUGGCUCUUGUGGGCCACAACAGUUCUUGAGGUAGGCUGCUAGGGUUCCCCAUUGGAGCCUCUCCAUUCCAGUGUUCCAGGGGGCAGAUGAGCUCCUAUCCCCACUGGCCUGUCUUGCUGGUGUUCAGGGCCCUGGCUUCCACUUUGCGAGGUCACCUUUCAGGAUUCAUGUGUAUCCACUUUGCUGUGUCAGAAACUCCCUACUGCUGACCUCCCUCUCCUCUUUGCUGUCAUUAAUGGAUUCUCAUUGUGGGAGAUAAACGUGUGCUCAGCCUAGAAUACCACAUGAUUUUUUUUUUCUUGAUUCAUUGCUUUUGCCUGUUAGCCUUGUUGUUCUAAAGUAGUUCAUUUUUCUACUCUACUUUUCCUUUCCCCUCAAUGACCCCCACCCCAAAACUGUGCCUAAAUACUAUUCAUGCAGUCUUUGAGAAUCAAACAGGUUCACACUCUUAUUCCUGAGUACAGAAACUUACCGAAUCACACAGCUGGAUAAAGCCGGGAUUGAAACCCUGGCAGUCUGGUUUCCAGAGCAUUCUGGCUUAGCCACUUAUGCCAUGGUUUGGCAAAAGUUAGAAACAGCUAAUCAGCUAAUAAGGGCAUGAUCACAAGGCAUUUUGCUAAUAAGUUUUUAAAAUAUACACUAUGGGUGUUUUUUGGUUGUGACAAUUCUUGGGUCCCUAUUCAUAGGAGCAUCCCCCGCACCAAUCCCUAGGCACAAUCCUGUAUCCAGCCUGCUGGACAUGACCGUUUAUUCCAUUUCGUAAACCCUAAGCAUUUGCUCUGCAAACCUCCUCCUGCUUGGUCCUUGCUCUUACUCCUUGUCUGAGAAACAUGGUGGCUGAGCUUUGUGACUGCAAGGCAGGGCUCAUCCUUAGGGUCUACCCUGAGGUAUUCUUAGUAGGACUGCUCUUUGAUAGGGCAAAGGAGUUUCAUGGACCCUUUGAAAAUAAUUUAGAGGCAUUUUCCUUUGGUUUCUCUGAAUGAGCUAAGAACCCCUGAUAAUAAGGAACUGCUGUGGGCUGAUGGUCAGUUCCUCCAGCCCCUCCAUUCUAGGAAGGUGUCUGGUAAAGCAGCUCACUGUGUGGUUGGGGAAGGGAGACAAACUAUGAAGUUGUGCCGAUUUCUGGGUUUUUUCCCUUACACAUGGGAUGGUGUGAGAUAAAAAUCUGGCAACAUAGACGCAGUGUUCAUGUCAAGAAAGAGCCACAAUAGGUAAGUCCCAAGACUGUUUUCUCAGACCUCAUGGAAAAGGAGACCUCUUGGAGAAGUGAGAAGCAAAACGAGAACAGGUUUAUUCACCUUGGACUGGAAAGAUAACGCCUUGUAAGCAGUUAGAGGCAACGCUUUUGGAUCCAGAGGGGAAAAGGAUCGCUGCUCCCAGCAACCUGUGCUUCUGCAGCAAAUAGCAGAGAAGACAGAUCCCGAGUCCCUCUUAAGUGGGUCCAGCAGGGCACGGGGAGGAGAAGCUUGGCACUCGCCAGGUCCUCCCCAUCCAAGACAGAGGAAGUCUUGGUGUCCUGGAAAGGCCAGGCAACCCCUGCCACAGGUUUGAUGUCCAGGUGGAGGCAGCCCCACACAAAGAGCCUCCUCUGCCAUGUUUAUCGAUCUCAGGCGGGAACCAGGGAAGACGUCUCUAAAGUGGUGCCUGCACAGCAUCCUGGCCAGUCAGGAGGAAGCAGCAACCUAAGCCAACUGCCACAGGUUGGCCCUUCCAAACCCCAGCCAUGGGAACACCUGGCCCUCCCCACUGUGCUUAGGAACUGAGUGCUUAGGAAACUAAAGGAUGGAUUUGGCCACGGGAUGGGCCAGAGGUGCUCCAGAGCCAGCUGAGGCACAUCAGGCCAAAGUCACCCUGCACUUCCCCUGAGGCAGCAGUUCCCACCAGGAUUCACAAGAUUUGGAGUGCUGUCAGAGGAACCGCAGUCAUUUAUGGCUGUAUAUUUUGUACUAGAAAAAAGUCACUAGGAAUUCAUGGGUGAUAUUGCUUAGGACAGUGGUUCUUAAAGUACCGUCAACAUCACUUAGCACCUAAGUGCUUAGUAGAAACUACUUCAUCAAAAACUCUGGGAAUGAGACCCAGCAACCUUUUAACAACCCAUCCAGGUGAUGGGAUGCAUGUUCAAUUUGGUGAGCCAUGACUUAGGAUAAAGCUAAGUAAAAGUAAGUAAGACAUAGACGGUAGCAAAAAUUGUGAAGAUCAGGUUUGAGAACAGUGGUCUAAAGCUUCAUGACCACAAAAAUUGGAAGGGACCACAUUUUAAAGAUGUGAAAUUAACAGCUUUACUUUUGUGCAAGAGGUGGCAGAAAAAAGAUGAGCUGUGGUAAUUAGGGCCCAUGGGGCUGAGCAUCAUCACCCCGGGAGCUAUGGGCCUCGCUGGGCCAAAAAUAAUGUGGCCCCUGGGCUGCAGAAGUUCUGAGCAUUUCCAGUUUUCUUAGCUGAAGUUUGAUUCAGCCUUGAACGGUGUUUACAUUGUACUUGUUCAUAAAUCCAAGGAACCAGGAAAGAAACUUACUAAGACUCAGAAUUUUCAGGCACACAUUACAAAGUUGCCAGCACAUUUUCAGCCACCCACCAGGUGCACAUACACUCUGCGUACAGAACAGACACCAGUCAGAGGUUUGCACAGCAAAAGGGCCAAGCGACUUCCAAACUACAGAGAAUCUCAGGCCAUCUGCCUUGGGAGGUCUUUUGGCAGCCAUAACAAAUAGACUCAAAAAGGCAACUACUACAAAGAACAGAGUCUGAAGAAGUGACGCACAGGAUGCUGACAGACCCUUAGUAGAGAUCCUUAUUCCAAAGGGGCAUCAGCUGCCUGCUAAUCCAUCCAGGGUCAGGAGGAGAUUCCUAGUGAGGCCGCUACUGCAGUCUAAGGAGUGGGAACAAUCACUAGCCAGACUGGAGCAGCCCAGCUCUGAAGAGGAGGGGCUGUCACCUGAUCCUGCCUGUGCCCCAUCAAGCUCUGGAGACCAAGCAAAAUCAAAGCUCCAGGCACACCUCAAAGCUCGCUUGACAACUGAAAGAGCCAUUGUGUGUGCACUGUAGAUGGAAACAUGCCAAAAGGACACAAGAGUCACCUUGACAGGUCUUCUGAUGUCCAAAUUUGAAGUAAUUUGAACAUCAAAUAAAUGGUUGCAAUGGAUUGCGACCCAGACUAGGAGUCCAUUAGCUGACACACUGCAUCAAUGGGGAGGGAAGGCGCCUCCAUGCAGGGGCAGGGUGUCGGCAGAAGGAACAUUGGACAUGGAAGCUCAUGGAUGGGCAGUGGUGGUGGAUUCACAUGGAAGUUGUAAGUGAAGGACAAGGAUGGAGGGUAGAGGUCUGAAGAGGAACAGGCUGGUCAUGUGCUUUGAGGAUGCCUCCCCACAAAAUACUCCUUGAUUACCAAGAGACAUAGUGUGACCUGACUGACAGUGGAGCAAUCUGCCUGGGUCACCAAGGUUAACAAACUGUAUGCCCCUGGAGUGACAUACAGAGAAGAGCGCAGCAUUUCUGUGGCUUUCCUGCCACAAAAGUGCUGCCUAGGUCUGGUCACCAUCAUCCAGACCCAGGCUGAGGGUGUACUACAGAGAGGUCUGCGGGCUUCACCCCACUAGGACGUGAAACACAGAUGCCGAGAGGACUGAUGCAGACAGCAGGAGAAAACUAAAGGCAACACACACCUCUUGACAGGGACCCUGGACCAGGAAAGGACAAGACACUGUUGGGACAGCUGGCGAGAUCUGCAUGGGGUCCAUGGACUGGAUGCAGUGUUCACUCCCUGACUUGGGGGAAUAUCUAAAUUUUGAAGAGAGAGGGAGACCAGGGGAGACAAUGUACACAUAAUUUCAGUAAAAUGUACCUUUUAUCUGUGAAAUUAUUUUAAAAUAAAAUUUUAAAAGUUAAAGGACUAGGUGCAGUGACUCACACCUGCAAUCCCAGCACUUUGGGAGGAUGAGAUGACAGGAUCACUUGAACCCAGUUGGACUGGCCUGGGCAAUGUAGUGAGA
rnacentral:lncRNA from 10 species